rnacentral:rRNA from 1 species
ACUCAGGUGUUGUUGGGUAGGGGAGCGUUCUGUAAGCCUGCGAAGGUGGCCUGUGAGGGUUGCUGGAGGUAUCAGAAGUGCGAAUGCUGACAUAAGUAACGAUAAAGCGGGUGAAAAGCCCGCUCGCCGGAAGACCAAGGGUUCCUGUCCAACGUUAAUCGGGGCAGGGUGAGUCGACCCCUAAGGCGAGGCCGAAAGGCGUAGUCGAUGGGAAACGGGUUAAUAUUCCCGUACUUGGUGUUACUGCGAAGGGGGGACGGAGAAGGCUAUGUUGGCCGGGCGACGGUUGUCCCGGUUUAAGCGUGUAGGUGUGUGUUCCAGGUAAAUCCGGUUCACUUUAACACUGAGGCGUGACGACGAGGCACUACGGUGCUGAAGCAACAAAUGCCCUGCUUCCAGGAAAAGCCUCUAAGCAUCAGGUAACAUCAAAUCGUACCCCAAACCGACACAGGUGGUCAGGUAGAGAAUACCAAGGCGCUUGAGAGAACUCGGGUGAAGGAACUAGGCAAAAUGGUGCCGUAACUUCGGGAGAAGGCACGCUGACAUGUAGGUGAAGUGAUUUACUCAUGGAGCUGAAGUCAGUCGAAGAUACCAGCUGGCUGCAACUGUUUAUUAAAAACACAGCACUGUGCAAACACGAAAGUGGACGUAUACGGUGUGACGCCUGCCCGGUGCCGGAAGGUUAAUUGAUGGGGUCAGCGCAAGCGAAGCUCCUGAUCGAAGCCCCGGUAAACGGCGGCCGUAACUAUAACGGUCCUAAGGUAGCGAAAUUCCUUGUCGGGUAAGUUCCGACCUGCACGAAUGGCGUAAUGAUGGCCAGGCUGUCUCCACCCGAGACUCAGUGAAAUUGAACUCGCUGUGAAGAUGCAGUGUACCCGCGGCAAGACGGAAAGACCCCGUGAACCUUUACUAUAGCUUGACACUGAACAUUGAGCCUUGAUGUGUAGGAUAGGUGGGAGGCUUUGAAGUGUGGACGCCAGUCUGCAUGGAGCCGACCUUGAAAUACCACCCUUUAAUGUUUGAUGUUCUAACGUGGACCCGUGAUCCGGGUUGCGGACAGUGUCUGGUGGGUAGUUUGACUGGGGCGGUCUCCUCCUAAAGAGUAACGGAGGAGCACGAAGGUUGGCUAAUCCUGGUCGGACAUCAGGAGGUUAGUGCAAUGGCAUAAGCCAGCUUGACUGCGAGCGUGACGGCGCGAGCAGGUGCGAAAGCAGGUCAUAGUGAUCCGGUGGUUCUGAAUGGAAGGGCCAUCGCUCAACGGAUAAAAGGUACUCCGGGGAUAACAGGCUGAUACCGCCCAAGAGUUCAUAUCGACGGCGGUGUUUGGCACCUCGAUGUCGGCUCAUCACAUCCUGGGGCUGAAGUAGGUCCCAAGGGUAUGGCUGUUCGCCAUUUAAAGUGGUACGCGAGCUGGGUUUAGAACGUCGUGAGACAGUUCGGUCCCUAUCUGCCGUGGGCGCUGGAGAACUGAGGGGGGCUGCUCCUAGUACGAGAGGACCGGAGUGGACGCAUCACUGGUGUUCGGGUUGUCAUGCCAAUGGCACUGCCCGGUAGCUAAAUGCGGAAGAGAUAAGUGCUGAAAGCAUCUAAGCACGAAACUUGCCCC